AACGAACGCUGGCGGCAGGCUUAACACAUGCAAGUCGAACGCACCUUUCGGGGUGAGUGGCAGACGGGUGAGUAACGCGUGGGAAUCUACCCUUCUCUACGGGAUAGCUCCGGGAAACUGGAAUUAAUACCGUAUACGUCCUGAGGGAGAAAGAUUUAUCGGGGAAGGAUGAGCCCGCGUUGGAUUAGCUAGUUGGUGGGGUAAAGGCCUACCAAGGCGACGAUCCAUAGCUGGUCUAAGAGGAUGAUCAGCCACAUUGGGACUGAGACACGGCCCAAACUCCUACGGGAGGCAGCAGUGGGGAAUAUUGGACAAUGGGCGCAAGCCUGAUCCAGCCAUGCCGCGUGAGUGAUGAAGGCCCUAGGGUUGUAAAGCUCUUUCAGUGGGGACGAUAAUGACGGUACCCACAGAAGAAGCCCCGGCUAACUUCGUGCCAGCCGCCGCUGUAAAAC
rnacentral:rRNA from 1 species